rnacentral:lncRNA from 1 species
AGGCUAGAGUACUCAAGGCAGAAGCUAUACUAUGAGAACAGAAGAAUUCGCAAGCCACAGCUUUUGGGGCCAAGCUUCCCGGAAUUAGCCUGUUCCUUUGAAGAGAACAGGCUAAAGUUUGAAAGUUUUCUUGGCGAAGAUACUGGAAUGGUUUGCCAUUUUCCUUCUCCAGAUCAUUUUACAGAUGAGGAAACUGAGACAAACAAGACUAUCCCUAAAGAAGAAGAAAGCAGCAAGAUGGCGCAGUGAAUGGAAUGACAGGCCUGGAGUCAGGAAGACGCAUCUUUGUGAGUUCAAUCUGGCCCCAAAUACUUACUAGCUGUGUGACCUUGGGCAAAUCAUUUAUCCCUGUUUAACUCAGUUCCUCAUCUGUAAAAUGAACUGGAAAAGAAAAUGUCCAACUACUCCUUUAUCUUUACCAAGAAAACCCUAAAUAGGGUCACAAAGAGUCAGAUAUGGCUGAGCAGCUAGGUGGUAUAAUAGAUAAAAUUCUAGGCUUAAAGUCAGAAAGAUCCAUCUUCCUAACUUCAUAUCUG